rnacentral:rRNA from 1 species
AAGAUUAAGCCAUGCAUGUCUAAGUAUAAACAAAUUCAUACUGUGAAACUGCGAAUGGCUCAUUAAAUCAGUUAUAGUUUAUUUGAUGGUAUCUUGCUACAUGGAUAACUGUGGUAAUUCUAGAGCUAAUACAUGCUUAAAAGCCCCGACUUCUGGAAGGGGUGUAUUUAUUAGAUAAAACCAAUGUGUUUCGGCACUUCUUGGUGAUUCAUAAUAACUUCUCGAAUCGCAU